rnacentral:lncRNA from 1 species
CACACUACCUUCAUGUCUAGGCACCAAGGAAAACAAGGCUCUUCAUGGCGUUUAGUUUAUGUGCCGAAAGAUGUGUCCCAGCAGAAACGGAGGAAGAGUCCCUUGAGAUAAACCCUGUAACGCACGUAAAGGAAGAUGCCUGCCACCGAACCGUCCAAGCACACAAACGCCCGUCCUCACCUCCAUCGCCCUCCGUGUAUCCGCAUCCAAUCGAGGCGAAACUUGGCUUCAAAACCUGGCAAACUCCCUUCUCAAAAAGAUGCUCUCCUGUCUCAAACUCCAUAUAUGGAAGGUCUUCGGAAAGAUGAUCUUCAUUGGACAGAUGAGAAAACCAAGGCCCGAAGAGGGAAGAUUCUUGCUCAGGGUCAUGCAGCAAGUUCAAGGACGUAUUACUCAGAAGGUUGGAACCAUUUUUUGACCUGCCAUUCAGAGAUCUGCUCCUCCUGUUCACUCAGGAACUGGCUGGGAGAGGCUCCAUUUCAACAUGGCUUACACAUCACAGGAGAAAUUCUUUCUAGCUUUUCUGCUAGAGACAACACAGGUCACUUCCUCUACACUUGUCAUGUGGCCUCACCUAACUUGGAGGCAGAUUGAAGGGGAGAUGCCGGAUGCCUACCAGGGAGAAGCAGGGAAGACUUCUCUGGUUUUAGCAGGGAUCUGAAUUGUGCAUGAGAGUUGACCAGGGAGGGAGUUUCCAUUGUGGCUCAGAGGGUUACUAACCCGACUAGUAUCCAUAAGGAUGUAGGUUUGAUCCCUAGCCUCAUUCAGUGGUUAAGGAUCCAGUGUUGCCAUGAGCUGUGGUAUAUGUUGCAGAUGCGGCUCAGAUCCAAUAUUGCUCCAGCUGUGGUGUAGAAUGGCAGCUGCAGCUCCAAUUUGACCCCUAGACUGGGAACUUCCAGACCCUAAAAAGCAAAAAAAAAAAGGAGUUGUCCAUAGAAAGGGUGACAUGGCAGGGUCUCAGGGAGCAGCUAGGGACUGGCAGCAGUAUGUGUACAGGCUCUGAGUUAGGAAGCAUCACAGCCUAUUUGAGCAGCAGAAGGAAGGCCAGAGUAGCUAGAACCCAGCCAGCAAGGGGAAAGUGGCUUCCAUUCCAAUGGGACUUGGGGAAUUAGAUGCCAGUGGACAACAGUUAGUCAUACCCCUGGGGAGGAGAGUGGCAGCAGAGUUUAUUUUGGUUUCAAUAUGAGAAACCAGUGGGUGGGGAAAGGGGCACAGAGAGUAGACAUCUGUGCCUCUCAACACACCUGCAAGGUGGGCAGAAUGCCCAUUCUAUUGGAAGGAACCUGGACCAGCGAGAUGAGUUGCUUGGCUGGAUGGUUGCAGUUGGUAAGCCUCUCUAGAAUCAGGAUUCAAAGCCUUUCCUUCAGACUCAGACAAUCCCUGGUCCCCACUGGCCACAGGGGUCUCCCCUAAUGUUGGAGGAAUCUUCCAUAUCUUGCAUCGUCGCUCAGCCCCCCGUGGGGCGGUGCUUAGGUUGGCGAAGCUCACUUAUGUUUUAUUGAAGGCCGUGUCUGGGACCAAGCAAGCUCUUUCAUUCACGUUCCCAAUUGCCACGGAGCAUCUGUCUCUGUGUCACGCCUCUGAGAAAACUUUCACAAGAUGAUAUUGAAUCAACAAGGAGGAAAUGUUGGGGGCAUCAAAGAGAAGUUUUAGAAAUGGCUGCUGGAAAAAGCAGGGGUGCCUUUUCCAUGCUGAGCUCCCCAUCUCCCAAUUAGCAUACAAAAACAUUUUUAAAGGAAUAACCUUUGCUAAUAAAACGCUAUAACCUCAAUAAGACA